rnacentral:tRNA from 1 species
GGAAGGGUGCGAGAGCGGCCGAAUCGGCAGCACUGGAAAUGCUGUGACCUGCAAGGGUCCGUGGGUUCAAAUCCCACCCCUUCCGCCA